rnacentral:rRNA from 1 species
GGCUGAACCAGCAACUUGGAGGAAUGUAUAGAGAAAACUGGUAAAAUGUGAUGUACCUAAUAGUAUUAGUGAUUAAUAUGAAAUUAACUAAGUUAAUUAAAAUUCGGAGUAGAUAUGUGAUUAUGACAAUAUUUGCUUAUUUCUUGACCAAGUCACGUGCCAGCAGUCGCGGUAAUACGUGGUAGAUCAGUGUUAUUCAUCUUUAAUAGGUUUAAAGGGUACCUAGACGGUUAAUUAAGCAUAUUUAUGUACUAAUUAUUAACUAGAGUUUAAUGUAAGAAGGAUUGAGUACGGUGAGUGUAGAGAUAAAAUUCUGUCAUACCACUUAGGAACUGGUAAAGGCGAAGGCAACCUUUUAUGUAAAAACUGACGUUAAGGGACGAAGGCUCGUAUUAAGUAAUAGGAUUAGAGACCCUAGUAUUGUGGGCAGACAAUGAUGAGUGUCAUAUGCAAGAAAAAUUUUGUGUAUAAAUGAAAGUGUAAGCACUCCACCUCAAGAGUAACGUGGCAACAUGGGAACUGAAAUCAUUAGACCGUUUCUGAAACUCGUAGUGAAGUAUGUUGUUUAAUUUGAUGAUCCACAAAUAACCUUACCACAAUUUGAAUUACUAGUUAAUUUAUUAGUAACAAGCGUUGCACGGCUGUCUUCAGUUAAUGUUGUGAAACUUUGGUUAGAUCCAUUAAAUUGACGUAAACCCUUGCUUUAUUUGUUAUAAAGCAGUUCGCCGCUAUAUUGGUAAUGAUAUAAGGGACUAAGACAAGUCAUC